rnacentral:lncRNA from 1 species
ACUCCUGCCUCAGGCCUCAGCCACCACAGUAAGUGGAACUCUAUACCUCCACCUCGCCUGGCUGGGUGGAGCCUCUAAACUCAGGAUUCUGCCUUGAGCUGUGGCUCUCCCCUCAGGUUGACAGGGUCCAGAGCAAAACCUACGGAAGAAGCUGCAGAGGCCAGGUGGAGGGAAGGAUGCUGAACUGGAGGAGGCCAGGAAAUUAUGAGGUACACCAAUCAAACAUAGUGUGUCCAGAAUUUGUGGGUUCUUGGUCUCACUGACUUCAAGAACGAAGCUGCGGACCCUCACGGUGAUUCUAAGCACAUUAAAAUCUGGAUGACACUUAUCUGAAUCAUUUCGCAACUUGGAGAGAGAUGGAGAAGACACGCAUGGUGUAACUGGGCAUCACCAGAAUGUGCACUGCCAUCUGUGGCUGUCUUCCUGCUGGCAAAUCCUUUUCAUUCCAAGCAAAUAAGAUUCCCUAAAUUAGACAAAAAGGAAGAAACACAACAGAGUCCAUAAUUCUGAGAGGAAGAGAAGAGUGAUCAUCAGCAGCAAAAGGCAAUUGCAGAGAAGCACCACCAAGAGCCAGCUUCAUGCUCAGGAGUGAAUGCUGAGCCGCCUCCUCGUGGUUUCCGGUGCUCCACAUGUUCAGAGAAACUUCUCUGUUGUAUUAUAAUUCCUAUCCCAGAAGGCCUCUAAAGCUAUCUUACCCAAGAGAAGAAAAAAAAAUCCUUUGAGGACUAAGAUCGCAUGAAUGCAUAAACAUCACGAAAUGGACCUGAGGUAGGGAUUGAAAGCGAUGGUUUCCCCAGGGCCAUGAGCCAGUCAAGCACACGAAGAAACUGAGAGGGAGAACUGUUUCUGGAAAGUGUAUUGGAUGGUUCCCUUAACUGACGCUCCAUGUCACAUAAUUAACACAAGAAAAAAUUAGAAUCUCGGGACCUUGCCAUAUAAAAUGAUGUUCAGAAAACAGAGCCUAAUGCUUUGAGGCUGAACUUGAAGCUCCAGUGGAUCAUCACAAAAUUUAAACCAUACGAUCGCAACCACCCUGGAUGCCACCAAGGGACACAGUCCGGAGACCCACUGGGAGGCCUUUGGAUACUUCUUCCUGUCAACACCUAUUCUCACUGCUGAACCCCUAAAGCCAGUUCCUUUAUUUUCAGAUUGGGGUAAUAGCCUCCUAGGUGGGAGAGCACUGAGAGAGGCCAUCUAAAUUUCAGCAAAGCAUUUUAGUAAGUUUCUCAUGACAUUUUUGUGGUCAAGACAAAUAGAUAUGGUCUCAUUGUAAUAUGUUUGAGUAGUACAGUCAGGCACCACAUAAUGAUGCUUUGGUCAAGGAUGAACCACAUGUAGGAGGGUGGUCCCAGGAGAUUAUAAUGGAGCUGAAAUUUUUCUAUUGCCUGGCAUUUAUCAUAAUGUGCUUUUUAUCAUUAUUUUAGAGUAUACUUCUUUUUUGUUGUUGUUGUUUUUUGAGACUGAGUCUCGCUCUGUCGUCCAGGCUGGAGUGCAGUGGCACAAUCUGAGCUACCACAACUUCCACCUACUGGGUUCAAGCGAUUCUUGUGCCUCAGCCUCCCAAGUAGCUGGGAUUAUAGGCACCCGCCACCACACCUGGCUAAUUUUUGUAUUUUUAGUAGAGACGGGGUUUCACCACGUUGGCCAGGCUGGUCUCGAACUCCUGACCUCAUGAUCUGCUUGCCUCAGCCUCCCAAAGUCCUGGGAUUACAGGUGUGAGCCACUGCACCUGGCCUACUUUUUUUUUAUUUUUUAUUUUUAAAAAGGGUAAUUGUACAACAGCCUCAGGCAGGUCCUUCAGGAGCUAUUCCAGAAGAAGGCAUUGUUAUCACAGGAGAUGACAGCUCCAUGUGUGUCACUGCCCCUGAAGACCUCCCAGUGUGACAAGGUGUGCAGGUGGAAGACAGUGGUAUUGAUGAUCCUCACCCUGUGGAGGCCAAAGCAAAUGUGUGCAUUUGUGUCCUAGUUUUCAAUAAAAAAGUCUUAAAAGUUAAAAACAAAUUUUUAAAUAGCAAAAUCUUAUAGAAUACGCAUAUAAAAAGAAAUAUUUUUUACAGCUGUAUAAUGUGUUUGUGUUUUAAUCUAAGUGUUAGACAAAAAUAUGAAAAAGUGAAAAAGUUUGAAAACAUUAAGAAGUCUAUAAAGUUAGAAAAGGUACAGUAUGCUAAGGUUAAUUUAUUUUAUUUAUUUAUUUAUUUUGAGAUGGAGUCUUCCUCUGCUGACCAGGAUGGAGUGCAUGCAGUGGCACAAUCUCGGCUCACGGUAACCUCUGCCUCCUGGGUUCAAGCAAUUCUCCUGCCUCAGCCUCCCGAGUAGCUGGGAUUACAGGCAUAUGCCACCACACCAGGCUAAUUUUUGUAUUUUUAGUAGAGACGGGGUUUCACCAUGUUGAUCAGGCUGGUUUUUAACUCCUGACCUCAAGUGGUCUACCCUCCUCUGCCUCCCAAAGUGCUGGGAUUACAGACAUGAACCACUGCACCCAGCUGGUUAAUUUAUUAUUAAAGAAAGAAAAUUGUAAAAGGUAAAUUUAAUGUGGCCAAAGUGUCCAG